rnacentral:rRNA from 1 species
GACGUAGGGCGCGAGCGUUGUCCGGAUUUAUUGGGCGUAAAGAGCUCGUAGGCGGCUCGUUGCGUCAAUCGUGAAAACCUACUGCUUAACGGUGGGCUUGCGGUUGAUACGGGCGGGCUGGAGUUCGGUAGGGGAGACUGGAAUUCCUGGUGUAGCGGUGAAAUGCGCAGAUAUCAGGAGGAACACCGGUGGCGAAGGCGGGUCUCUGGGAAACAACUGACGCUGAGGAACGAAAGCGUGGGUAGCAAACAGG